AGAGUUUGAUCCUGGCUCAGAAUGAACGUUGGCGGCGUGGAUUAGGCAUGCAAGUCGUACGCUCCGCAAGGGGCGUGGCGCAAGGGUGAGUAAGGCGACGGUAACCUACCCCAGGGCUGGCCAUAGCCGCGGGAAACCGCGGGUAAUAGCCAGCGACGCAGCGGGCCGGCAUCGGUCUGCUGCCAAAGGUGUGAUUCCGCCCUGGGACGGGCCGUCGUGGUAUCAGGUAGUUGGCGGGGUGAUGGCCCACCAAGCCUCUGAUGCCUACCGGGCGUGCGAGCGUGGCCCGGCACACUGGGACUGAGACACUGCCCAGACUCCUACGGGAGGCUGCAGUCGAGAGUCUUCGGCAAUGGGCGCAAGCCUGACCGAGCGACGCCGCGUGGAGGACGAAGGCCUUCGGGUUGUAAACUCCUGUCGAGGGGGAGGAAGUUCCGGCGAAGAGUCGGGAUUGACCGAUCCCUGGAGGAAGCACGGGCUAAGUUCGUGCCAGCCGCCGCGGUAAUAC
rnacentral:rRNA from 1 species